rnacentral:sRNA from 1 species
AAACACUUUUAUUAAUUACUCACACAUAUCGGCACGUCUUCCGGGGUGCCCAGCGACUUUUCGCGAAGUUGUAACGCACAGGCGUUAAUCUGGGUCGGUAAGAUGGGGUAUGUGGACGCCUAAC